AAAACACUUAAAAAACGGCUAAAGCACAGUAUAGAAAAAAUAAGAAAAAUAUGACCCACAAAAGAAAUAAAGAAAUUUAGACGCACAGAGGGGAACAAACGCGAAAUAGAAAAGGGGAUAAUGGGAGAUUUUCCUGAGAUUUAAUUCUCAAGAUAAGACAAAAUUAAAAUCAUCUUUAUCCUUACAUAACUACAGGUUAAAUUAAAAUCCCAAACCCCUUCCAACUCCUCUCAC
rnacentral:lncRNA from 1 species